AUGGAAGACAACUGGUUAAUCUGGAAUGUACGGGGGCUCAACAACCCGGCCCGUAGGAAGGUGGUCAAGGAUGUAGUGUAUCAAAAUAGUGUAUCUUUAGUGUGUUUGCAAGAGACAAAGUUGUCUGUCAUGGAUGCGACAACUGUGCAGCAGUGUUGCGGGGCUGAAUUUUUGGAGUUUGCCUUCUUGCCAGCCGAUGGAACACGGGGUGGGGUGUUGAGGGCGAUCACCAUAGUUUUCCCAAUAUAUUGGUGCACCAACACUUCAUCGCGGCUCACGACACAUAUAAUGCCGGGCAGCCUGUUGGACUAA
rnacentral:rRNA from 1 species